rnacentral:rRNA from 1 species
UACGUAGGGGGCAAGCGUUGUCCGGAAUCAUUGGGCGUAAAGAGCGCGUAGGCGGCCCGGAAAGUGGGGUGUGAAACCCGAGGCUCAACCUCGGGCGUGCACUCCAAACUCCCGGGCUCGAGGCAGGUAGGGGAGAUCGGAAUUCCUGGUGUAGCGGUGAAAUGCGCAGAUAUCAGGAGGAACACCGGUGGCGAAGGCGGGAUCUCUGGG